ACGAACGCUGGCGGCGUGCUUAACACAUGCAAGUCGAACGGAAAGGCCCUGCUUUUGUGGGGUGCUCGCGUGGCGAACGGGUGAGUAACACGUGAGUAACCUGCCCUUGACUUUGGGAUAACUUCAGGAAACUGGGGCUAAUACCGGAUAGGAGCUCCUGCUUCCUGGUGGGGGUUGGAAAGUUUCGGCGGUUGGGGAUGGACUCGCGGCUUAUCAGCUUGUUGGUGGGGUAGUGGCUUACCAAGGCUUUGACGGGUAGCCGGCCUGAGAGGGUGACCGGCCACAUUGGGACUGAGAUACGGCCCAGACUCCUACGGGAGGCAGCAGUGGGGAAUAUUGCACAAUGGGCGGAAGCCUGAUGCAGCAACGCCGCGUGCGGGAUGACGGCCUUCGGGUUGUAAACCGCUUUCGCCUGUGACGAAGCGUGAGUGACGGUAAUGGGUAAAGAAGCACCGGCUAACUACGUG
rnacentral:rRNA from 1 species